rnacentral:rRNA from 1 species
UACGUAGGUGGCAAGCGUUUGUCCGGAUUUACUGGGCGUAAAGAGCGCGCAGGCGGUCGUCCAAGUCGCGUGUGAAAGCCCCCGCUCAACUGGGGAGGGUCACGCGAUACUGGUCGACUCGAAGGCAGGAGAGGUAGUGGAAAUUCCCGGUGUAGUGGUGAAAAUGCGUAGAUAUCGGGAGAACACCAGUGGCGAAGGCGAAGCUACCUGCCCUGGUUCCUUGACUGACAUGGAGGCCGCGGCGAAAAGCCUAAAUCGGGGAGACA